rnacentral:rRNA from 1 species
AUACGGAGGAUCCGAGCGUUAUCCGGAUUUAUUGGGUUUAAAGGGUGCGCAGGCGGCCAUUUAAGUCAGCGGUUAAAUCGUGGGGCUCAACCCCAUUCUGCCGUUGAUACUGGGUGGCUUGAUUGCGGUCGAGGUUGGCGGCCUUCGUUGUGUAGCGGUGAAAUGCAUAGAUAUGACGAAGAACAUCGAUUGCGUAGGCAGCUGACCAGACCGCAAAUGACGCUCAUGCACGAAAGUGCGGGGAUCGAACAGGAUUAGAUACCCUGGUAGUCCGCACAGUAAACGAUGAAUACUUGUUUUCGGCGAUAUAAUGUCGGAUGCAAAGCGAAAGCGAUAAGUAUUCCACCUGGGGAGUACGCCGGCAACGGUGAAACUCAAAUGAAUUUACGGGG